rnacentral:rRNA from 1 species
UGCAGUCGAACGAUGAUCCCAGCUUGCUGGGGGAUUAGUGGCGAACGGGUGAGUAACACGUGAGUAACCUGCCCUUAACUCUGGGAUAAGCCUGGGAAACUGGGUCUAAUACCGGAUAUGACUCCUCAUCGCAUGGUGGGGGGUGGAAAGCUUUAUUGUGGUUUUGGAUGGACUCGCGGCCUAUCAGCUUGUUGGUGAGGUAAUGGCUCACCAAGGCGACGACGGGUAGCCGGCCUGAGAGGGUGACCGGCCACACUGGGACUGAGACACGGCCCAGACUCCUACGGGAGGCAGCAGUGGGGAAUAUUGCACAAUGGGCGCAAGCCUGAUGCAGCGACGCCGCGUGAGGGAUGACGGCCUUCGGGUUGUAAACCUCUUUCAGUAGGGAAGAAGCGAAAGUGACGGUACCUGCAGAAGAAGCGCCGGCUAACUACGUGCCAGCAGCCGCGGUAAUACGUAGGGCGCAAGCGUUAUCCGGAAUUAUUGGGCGUAAAGAGCUCGUAGGCGGUUUGUCGCGUCUGCCGUGAAAGUCCGGGGCUCAACUCCGGAUCUGCGGUGGGUACGGGCAGACUAGAGUGAUGUAGGGGAGACUGGAAUUCCUGGUGUAGCGGUGAAAUGCGCAGAUAUCAGGAGGAACACCGAUGGCGAAGGCAGGUCUCUGGGCAUUAACUGACGCUGAGGAGCGAAAGCAUGGGGAGCGAACAGGAUUAGAUACCCUGGUAGUCCAUGCCGUAAACGUUGGGCACUAGGUGUGGGGGACAUUCCACGUUUUCCGCGCCGUAGCUAACGCAUUAAGUGCCCCGCCUGGGGAGUACGGCCGCAAGGCUAAAACUCAAAGGAAUUGACGGGGGCCCGCACAAGCGGCGGAGCAUGCGGAUUAAUUCGAUGCAACGCGAAGAACCUUACCAAGGCUUGACAUGGACCGGACCGGGCUGGAAACAGUCCUUCCCCUUUGGGGCCGGUUCACAGGUGGUGCAUGGUUGUCGUCAGCUCGUGUCGUGAGAUGUUUGGGUUAAGUCCCGCAACGAGCGCAACCCUCGUUCCAUGUUGCCAGCG